rnacentral:rRNA from 1 species
AACGAACGCUGGCGGCAUGCCUAACACAUGCAAGUCGAACGAGACCUUCGGGUCUAGUGGCGCACGGGUGCGUAACGCGUGGGAACCUGCCCUUAGGUUCGGAAUAACUCCCCGAAAGGGGUGCUAAUACCGGAUAAUGUCUUCGGACCAAAGAUUUAUCGCCUUUGGAUGGGCCCGCGUUGGAUUAGCUAGUUGGUAGGGUAAAAGCCUACCAAGGCGACGAUCCAUAGCUGGUCUGAGAGGAUGAUCAGCCACACUGGGACUGAGACACGGCCCAGACUCCUACGGGAGGCAGCAGUGGGGAAUAUUGGACAAUGGGCGAAAGCCUGAUCCAGCAAUGCCGCGUGAGUGAUGAAGGCCUUAGGGUUGUAAAGCUCUUUUACCCGGGAUGGUAAUGACAAUACCGGGAGAAUAAGCUCCGGCUAACUCCGUG